rnacentral:rRNA from 1 species
GAUCCUGGCUCAGGAUGAACGCUAGCGGCAGGCCUAAUACAUGCAAGUCGAACGGACCUUGAUUCUUCGGAAUCUUGGUUAGUGGCGCACGGGUGCGUAACGCGUAUGCAACCUACCUUCCACUGGGGGAUAGCCCCGGGAAACCGGGAUUAAUACCGCAUAACACCGUUUGAGGGCAUCCGAAGACGGUUAAAGUUUCGGCGGUGGAAGAUGGGCAUGCGUGCCAUUAGCUUGUUGGCGGGGUAACGGCCCACCAAGGCGACG